rnacentral:rRNA from 1 species
CAUGCAGUCGAGGGGCAGCAUCAUCAAAGCUUGCUUUGAUGGAUGGCGACCGGCGCACGGGUGAGUAACACGUAUCCAACCUGCCGACAACACUGGGAUAGCCUUUCGAAAGAAAGAUUAAUACCGGAUGGUAUAGUUUUCCCGCAUGGGAUGAUUAUUAAAGAAUUUCGGUUGUCGAUGGGGAUGCGUUCCAUUAGGCAGUUGGCGGGGUAACGGCCCACCAAACCUACGAUGGAUAGGGGUUCUGAGAGGAAGGUCCCCCACAUUGGAACUGAGACACGGUCCAAACUCCUACGGGAGGCAGCAGUGAGGAAUAUUGGUCAAUGGACGAGAGUCUGAACCAGCCAAGUAGCGUGAAGGAUGACUGCCCUAUGGGUUGUAAACUUCUUUUAUACGGGAAUAAAGUGAGCCACGUGUGGCUUUUUGUAUGUACCGUAUGAAUAAGGAUCGGCUAACUCCGUGCCAGCAGCCGCGGUAAUACGGAGGAUCCGAGCGUUAUCCGGAUUUAUUGGGUUUAAAGGGAGCGUAGGCGGGUUGUUAAGUCAGUUGUGAAAGUUUGCGGCUCACCGUAAAAUUGCAGUUGAUACUGGCGACCUUGAGUGCAACAGAGGUAGGCGGAAUUCGUGGUGUA